rnacentral:rRNA from 1 species
GAUGAACGCUGGCGGCGUGCUUAACACAUGCAAGUCGAACGGAAAGGCUCCUGCUUGCAGGGGUACUCGAGUGGCGAACGGGUGAGUAACACGUGGGUGAUCUGCCCUGCACUUCGGGAUAAGCCUGGGAAACUGGGUCUAAUACCGGAUAGGGCGAUGGUUUGGAUGCCAUUGUGGAAAGUUUUUCGGUGUGGGAUGAGCUCGCGGCCUAUCAGCUUGUUGGUGGGGUAAUGGCCUACCAAGGCGUCGACGGGUAGCCGGCCUGAGAGGGUGUACGGCCACAUUGGGACUGAGAUACGGCCCAGACUCCUACGGGAGGCAGCAGUGGGGAAUAUUGCACAAUGGGCGCAAGCCUGAUGCAGCGACGCCGCGUGGGGGAUGACGGCCUUCGGGUUGUAAACUCCUUUCGCUAGGGACGAAGCGCAAGUGACGGUACCUGGAGAAGAAGCACCGGCUAACUACGUG